ACUGAGGAAGCCAAGCCAAGCCAGUAAAAAAUCCAUAACACAACCUAGGUUGUGAUAAUUACGCUGUUUGCUCUAUAACCCAUUAAAUGCCACAGUGAUAUAUAAUAAGGCCGCGGCAGGAUAAGUUCAUACACAUUUCAUCACAAACCAGAGAGGUGACUCCGAGAUGCUGACCUUCUAGGCAGAGAUCCUCUGUCCAGUCUCACCGUCAACAGUGAAGAGGCGACUCUGGGAUGCUGGCCUUCUAGGCAGAGUUCCUCUGUCCAGUCUCACCGUCAACAGUGAAGAGGCGACUCCGGGAUGCUGUCCUUCUAGGCAGAGUUCCUCUGUCCAGUCUCAACAUCAACAGUGAAGAGGUGACUCCGAGAUGCUGUCCUUCUAGGCACAGUUCCUCUGUCCAGUCUCACCGUCAACAGUGAAGAGGUGACUCCGGGAUGCUGUCCUUCUAGGCAGAGUUCCUCUGUCCAGUCUCAACGUCAACAGUGAAGAGGUGACUCCGAGAUGCUGUCCUUCUAGGCACAGUUCCUCUGUCCAGUCUCACCGUCAACAGUGAAGAGGUGACUCCGGGAUGCUGGCCUUCUAGGCAGAGUUCCUCUGUCCAGUCUCACCGUCAACAGUGAAGAGGUGACUCCGGGAUGCUGUCCCUCUAGGCACAGUUCCUCUGUCCAGUCUCACCGUCAACAGUGAAAAGGUGACUCCGGGAUGCUGUCCUUCUAGGCAGAGUUCCUCUGUCCAGUCUCACCGUCAACAGUGAAGAGGUGACUCCGGGAUGCUGUCCUUCUAGGCAGAGUUCCUCUGUCCAGUCUCACCGUCAACAGUGAAGAGGUGACUCCGGGAUGCUGUCCUUCUAGGCAGAGUUCCUCUGUCCAGUCUCAACGUCAACAGUGAAGAGGUGACUCCGGGAUGCUGUCCUUCUAGGCAGAGUUCCUCUGUCCAGUCUCACCGUCAACAGUGAAGAGGUGACUCCGGGAUGCUGUCCUUCUAGGCAGAGUUCCUCUGUCCAGUCUCACCGUCAACAGUGAAGAGGUGACUCCG